CGGCGAGUGAAGCGGCAACAGCUCAAAUUUGAAAUCUGGCCCUCGGGUCCGAGUUGUAAUUUGUAGAGGAUGCUUUUGGUGCGGUGCCUUCCGAGUUCCCUGGAACGGGACGCCAUAGAGGGUGAGAGCCCCGUCUGGUUGGACGCCAAUCCUCUGUAAAGCUCCUUCGACGAGUCGAGUAGUUUGGGAAUGCUGCUCUAAAUGGGAGGUAUAUGUCUUCUAAAGCUAAAUAUUGGCCAGAGACCGAUAGCGCACAAGUAGAGUGAUCGAAAGAUGAAAAGCACUUUGAAAAGAGAGUUAAAAAGUACGUGAAAUUGUUGAAAGGGAAGCGCUCAUGACCAGACUUGGGCUUGGUAGAUCAACCUGGGUUCUCCCCUGGUGCACUCUUCCUCGUUCAGGCCAGCAUCAGUUCGCUGCGGGGGAUAAAGGUUUCGGGAAUGUGGCUCCCUCGGGAGUGUUAUAGCCCGUUGCGUAAUACCCUGCGGUGGACUGAGGUUCGCGUUCUGCAAGGAUGCUGGCGUAAUGGUCAUCAGUGACCCGUCUUGAAACACGGACCAAGGAGUCGUCUUCGUAUGCGAGUGUUCGGGUGUUAAACCCCUACGCGUAAUGAAAGUGAACGCAGGUGAGAGCUUCGGCGCAUCAUCGACCGAUCCUGAUGUUCUCGGAUGGAUUUGAGUAAGAGCAUACGGGGCCGGACCCGAAAGAAGGUGAACUAUGCCUGUAUAGGGUGAAGCCAGAGGAAACUCUGGUGGAGGCUCGCAGCGGUUCUGACGUGCAAAUCGAUCGUCAAAUAUGGGCAUGGGGGCGAAAGACUAAUCGAACCUUCUAGUAGCUGGUUUCCGCCGAAGUUCCCUCAGGAUAGCAGUGUUGAACUCAGUUUUAUGAGGUAAAGCGAAUGAUUAGGGACUC
rnacentral:rRNA from 1 species